UGGGUCUCUAGCUGUUUUUGGACUACAGUUCCCAUUAUCCCUGACCACUGAUGCCUGCUAGCUAGGGAUGAUGGGAGUUGUAGUCCAAAAACAGCUAGAGACCCA